GACGAACGCUGGCGGCGUGCUUAACACAUGCAAGUCGAACGGAAAGGCCCUGCUUUUGUGGGGUGCUCGAGUGGCGAACGGGUGAGUAACACGUGAGUAACCUGCCCUUGACUUUGGGAUAACUUCAGGAAACUGGGGCUAAUACCGGAUAGGAGCUCCUGCUGCAUGGUGGGGGUUGGAAAGUUUCGGCGGUUGGGGAUGGACUCGCGGCUUAUCAGCUUGUUGGUGGGGUAGUGGCUUACCAAGGCUUUGGCGGGUAGCCGGCCUGAGAGGGUGACCGGCCACAUUGAGACUGAGAUACGGCCCAGACUCCUACGGGAGGCAGCAGUGGGAAAUAUUGCACAAUGGGCGGAAGCCUGAUGCAGCAACGCCGCGUGCGGGAUGACGGCCUUCGGGUUGUAAACCGCUUUCGCCUGUGACGAAGCGUGAGUGACGGUAAUGGGUAAAGAAGCACCGGCUAACUACGGG
rnacentral:rRNA from 1 species